rfam:Nematostella vectensis strain CH2 x CH6 NEMVEscaffold_285_Cont22401, whole genome shotgun sequence.
CCUUCGAUAGCUCAGUUGGUAGAGCGGGGGACUGUAGAUUUAUAAUUGUGAUCCCUAGGUCGCUGGUUCGAAUCCGGCUCGAAAAA